UAGAGUUUGAUCCUGGCUCACAUUGAACGCUGGCGGCAUGCUUUACACAUGCAAGUCGAACGGCAGCGCGGGCGGGGGUAACCUCGCCUGGCGGCGAGUGGCGAACGGGUGAGUNNNACAUCGGAACGUACCCAGAAGUGGGGGAUAACGUAGCGAAAGUUACGCUAAUACCGCAUACGUUCUACGGAAGAAAGUGGGGGACCGCAAGGCCUCAUGCUUUUGGAGCGGCCGAUGUCUGAUUAGCUAGUUGGUAGGGUAAAGGCCUACCAAGGCGACGAUCAGUAGCUGGUCUGAGAGGACGACCAGCCACACUGGGACUGAGACACGGCCCAGACUCCUACGGGAGGCAGCAGUGGGGAAUUUUGGACAAUGGGCGCAAGCCUGAUCCAGCAAUGCCGCGUGAGUGAAGAAGGCCUUCGGGUUGUAAAGCUCUUUUGUCAGGGAAGAAACGGCUGAGGCGAAUACCUUCGGCUAAUGACGGUACCUGAAGAAUAAGCACCGGCUAACUACGUGCCAGCAGCCGCGGUAAUACGUAGGGUGCAAGCGUUAAUCGGAAUUACUGGGCGUAAAGCGUGCGCAGGCGGUUUUGUAAGUCUGACGUGAAAUCCCCGGGCUCAACCUGGGAAUUGCGUUGGAGACUGCAAGGCUGGAGUCUGGCAGAGGGGGGUAGAAUUCCACGUGUAGCAGUGAAAUGCGUAGAGAUGUGGAGGAACACCGAUGGCG
rnacentral:rRNA from 1 species